rnacentral:sRNA from 1 species
AGCUCAAGUGUACAGUUGAAGGCUGUGACCGGACAUUUGUAUGGCCAGCCCACUUUAAAUACCACCUCAAGACUCAUCGAAAUGACCGCUCCUUCAUCUGUCCUGCAGAAGGUUGUGGGAAGAGCUUCUAUGUGCUGCAGAGGCUGAAGGUGCACAUGAGGACCCACAAUGGAGAGAAGCCCUUUAUGUGCCAUGAGUCUGGCUGUGGUAAGCAGUUUACUACAGCUGGAAACCUGAAGAACCACCGGCGCAUCCACACAGGAGAGAAACCUUUCCUUUGUGAAGCCCAAGGAUGUGGCCGUUCCUUUGCUGAGUAUUCUAGCCUCCGAAAACAUCUGGUGGUUCACUCAGCUGAGCCACUAAUGGGCAGUAGUUUGCUUGAAGAGGCUUCAGUACCCAGUAAAAACCUGGUGUCUAUGAAUUCCCAGCCCAGCCUUGGUGGAGAAUCCUUGAACCUACCAAAUACCAAUUCUAUCCUGGGAGUUGAUGAUGUUAUGGAAGAACUUAACUUUUAAAACAUUUAAACAGAACAUAACCAGGUUUUACAGAGGAGAUAUAAAGCAAUUUCUCCAUACCUUCAAAAGCCAUAUCUUCUGGAGAAAAGAAAGGGCUCUCUAGGAAACACUUGCUUCUCUCUGGUAUAGAAAUUUCACCCAAGUUACACAGGCCAGGCCCUCUUCUCUGAAAAACUUAACAGGUGAGGUCAGCAUGCAUUUAUUCAGUGCCUACUGUGUGCCUGGCACCAUGGGAAAGACAAAAGUAGAAGAUAGGGACCUUAAAAUCCAGUUGAGAAGUGAAAGCUUACAUAUAUAUGGGAAAGAACAUUGAGUACAUAAAAGACAGUAU